rnacentral:rRNA from 1 species
ACGGGAGGCAGCAGUGGGGAAUAUUGGACAAUGGGGGAAACCCUGAUCCAGCGACGCCGCGUGAGUGAAGAAGUAUUUCGGUAUGUAAAGCUCUAUCAGCAAGGAAGAAAAUGACGGUACUUGACUAAGAAGCCCCGGCUAACUACGUGCCAGCAGCCGCGGUAAUACGUAGGGGGCAAGCGUUAUCCGGAUUUACUGGGUGUAAGGGGAGCGUAGACGGCAUAGCAAGUCUGAAGUGAAAUGCAUGGGCUCAACCCAUGAACUGCUUUGGAAACUGUUAAGCUAGAGUGCAGGAGAGGUAAGUGGAAUUCCUAGUGUAGCGGUGAAAUGCGUAGAUAUUAGGAGGAACACCAGUGGCGAAGGCGGCUUACUGGACUGUAACUGACGUUGAGGCUCGAAAGCGUGGGGAGCAAACAGGAUUAGAUACCCUGGUA